CCUACGGGAGGCAGCAGUAGGGAAUCUUCCGCAAUGGACGAAAGUCUGACGGAGCAACGCCGCGUGAACGAUGAAGGCCUUCGGGUCGUAAAGUUCUGUUGUUAGGGAAGAACAAGUGCUAGUUAAAUAAGCUGGCACCUUGACGGUACCUAACCAGAAAGCCACGGCUAACUACGUGCCAGCAGCCGCGGUAAUACGUAGGUGGCAAGCGUUGUCCGGAAUUAUUGGGCGUAAAGCGCGCGCAGGCGGUUUCUUAAGUCUGAUGUGAAAGCCCCCGGCUCAACCGGGGAGGGUCAUUGGAAACUGGGAAACUUGAGUGCAGAAGAGGAAAGUGGAAUUCCAAGUGUAGCGGUGAAAUGCGUAGAGAUUUGGAGGAACACCAGUGGCGAAGGCGACUUUCUGGUCUGUAACUGACGCUGAGGCGCGAAAGCGUGGGGAGCAAACAGGAUUAGAUACCCUGGUAGUCCACGCUGUAAACGAUGAGUGCUAAGUGUUAGAGGGUUUCCGCCCUUUAGUGCUGAAGUUAACGCAUUAAGCACUCCGCCUGGGGAUACGGUCGCAAGACUGAAACUUAAGGAAUUGACGG
rnacentral:rRNA from 1 species